CGUGUAGGCGGUUGGUCAAGUCUGGCGUGAAAGCCCGGGGGCUUAGCUCCGGAAGUGCGCUGGAAACUAGCCGACUGGAGCGCGAUAGAGGAGGGUGGAAUUCCUGGUGUAGCGGUGAAAUGCGUAGAUAUCAGGAGGAACACCGGCGGCGAAGGCGGCCCUCUGGAUCGUUGCUGACGCUGAGACGCGAAAGCGUGGGGAGCAAACAGGAUUAGAUACCCUGGUAGUCCACGCUGUAAACUAUGGGUACUAGGUGUUCGGGGUGUUGACCCCCUGAGUGCCGACGCUAACGCAUUAAGUACCCCGCCUGGGGACUACGGCCGCAAGGCUAAA
rnacentral:rRNA from 1 species